UAUUCUGGACAGACAGGCACUAAAAAGGUGAUUGUUCUCUCUCUGUAAAACCGUUUGAGAUACUGUUUGUUUCUAUGGAUAGCUAAUUCAAAUACGGUCAUUGUGGCACUGGUUGCAUAAUUUUUGGACAUGAAAUGAGUUGCAAAUUAUGCGUUUCGGCGAGCUCUGGAAGUGUCUAUGCUAUUAUUCAAGCUUAUUUUCAGAUAAACAGGUUGAUCGAGAUAUCAUGGUCUGCAAGCAUGGAGUUCAGAUACUUGGAUUAUGCUAGUUGAGCUGACGUCAUGUUAUCUUAUAUUUUGUAUAAGAUUUAGUUUCUUUAUGCUAGUUGAGCUGACGUCAUGUUAUUAAUCUCUUGGAUUUUGUAAUCCUAUUUAUGUAUUCGGACGAUACCAAAUGAAAUCUUAAUGAUUCCCGAUUCAGUUAUGUA